CAGGAAGGAGGAAAUGAGCUUCCAGGAUCAUCCAGACCUGUAUCUCUUCAGAGCCAUAAAAGUGCCUUCCAUCAACACAAAAUCAGAUCAGGUUAAAAAUUCACAGUGCCCCUGAGAUGAAAACAAACCAGUUGGCUUGGAAAAAGACAAAGUGCUGAUGCUAGGCCUGGGGAAAAUUUCUCCCAUGCACCUUUUUUACGUGAUGAUAAAUGCCUCAGCAAUAUCCAUUCAGGAAGAUGGCGUGAGAGAUGGUGCUGCUAUCUGAUUAUAGAAUCUUUAUGAACUGGAUUCCUGUGUGAUUCUGUGGAGGAGGACCCCCACCUCUUAUCAACUUAUGAGAAGCAUGUAGUGUAAACAGGGUUCAAACCUUUGUUAUGAGAUGAGGAACUUGAGCCUUGAUUGAGUGAUUUGCCUUAACACAACAUGAAGAGGCAGAGCUGGAUCUUGAACCCAGAUUGGUGGAUGGAAUCCACACCCGGCGUGAAUGAGAUAUAAGGUUUUUGGAGUAAAUAACUGAAAGUGGUCUCAAAGAUAUGGAACUUGCUUGAGAUGUUUGUAUGGAACAUCCCUGUUUGUAUUGAACCAGUUCUGACUGUUCAGUUCACGAGUCAUCUAAGCAGAGAAAUGAUCUUCCUUAUCCCACAUCACAGAUGUCCCUGUAGCUACAGACUCCACCAGCUGAAUAACAAGAGGAUUCUCAAGAUUAUGUUGCAUCUGUUCUUUUUUU